ACGAACGCUGGCGGCGUGCUUAACACAUGCAAGUCGAACGGAAAGGCCUGCUUUCCCUUGUGGAUUGCGGGUACUCGAGUGGCGAACGGGUGAGUAACACGUGAGUGAUCUGCCCCCAACUUGGGUAUAAGCCUGGGAAACUGGGUCUAAUUCCCGAUAGGACUGCAGGGUGGUGCCUGUGGUGGAAAACGAUUUUCUAGUGGUUGGGGAUGAGUUCGCGGCCUAUCAGCUUGUUGGUGGGGUAAUGGCCUACCAAGGCGGCGACGGGUAGCCGGCCUGAGAGGGUGGACGGCCACAUUGGGACUGAGAUACGGCCCAGACUCCUACGGGAGGCAGCAGUGGGGAAUAUUGCACAAUGGGCGGAAGCCUGAUGCAGCGACGCCGCGUGGGGGAUGACGGCCUUCGGGUUGUAAACUCCUUUCGACCGCGAGGAAGCCACCUGGUUGGAAGGGUGGUGACGGUAGUGGUAGAAGAAGCACCGGCUAACUACGUG
rnacentral:rRNA from 1 species